GGUCGCCCCUCUGUAUGUAAGACUCUGGCAUCAGAAACCGCAGCACGGCUAGGUGUUCGUUCAUUAGCCGGCGCCGGUUGCGCUCGACAGCAAUGUGGGUCAUCCGCUGCGACUCCGCUUCCUCUUUGUUCUUGCAGCUCCUGACCCGCCGCCUGCGCUUUCUUCUUGCUGGCUCUGUGGGUGUGUUGGUCGUCUCCGGCGCAGCCGGAGAAAAGCCAGAGGCGGCAUUUUCGAAGAGGAGGCUUAGGGUUGAGGAGGGAUUUGGGGUGGCAGUGAUGGUGUCG
rnacentral:misc_RNA from 1 species